rnacentral:lncRNA from 1 species
UUAUUCUGCUGUGGUUCAACAACCUGAUUAUUUUUAGAUAGAAAUUUAAGGUAAAAUGGCACAUGGAUAUAUUUAGAGAGGACUGCAGCUGGAGUCCAGCUAUCACAGAAAGCAUUCUGGCAUUUGCUUGGGGAAGAUAUAGCUUUCAAGGGGCAGGGGUUCAGUAAUAGCAGGUCACUAACAACUGUUUCAGGGAGUCACUGAUUCCUGGAAGCAAUGACUGGUGUCUUGACACCCUGGAAGUUUUCCCAAAUGACUUGGCUAGAGUAGAUAAAGCUCAUUUUAUGCCGUUGAUCGUAUGUAUUUUCUUGCUGAUCAUGGAAGAUGGGAGCAAGAAAGGACACUAUGUUUGAUUUGAUUUUGCAGGGAAUAGAGCGACUCAUUAGUCAUUCAGUCAAACAUCCAACAAACAUUUAUUGAGCAUUUACAAUGUACCAUGUUAUUAGAUGCAAGAGAUACAAUGGUGAGGAAAAACAAAUAUUCCCAUGUCUUCAUGAAGCUCAAGACUUAACAGGUAGGAUUAACAUUAACCAGAUAAUCACAUAAAUAAAUGUAAAGUUGCCACUAUGAUGAAUGCUGCCAAUGAAUAGUCUAGUGCUAUCAGGGCAUGCAAGAGGGGAAUCUGGCAUAGUCGAGAUACAGCAAGGCUUCCCUGGAGAAGACACCACUGAAAUCAAGUCUGAAAAGUGAGUAAAAAUUAAUAAAUGAAAGGAAAUUUGAGACUGUCCUAUGUACUCAGAGCAAAAUGUGCCAAAGCCCUGCUGCUGAAGGAGCAUGCAUGUUUGGGGGACUGGUAGGUCAGUGCAGCUGAAGCAGAGAGAGAGAAGACAGGCUAUUAUAAGAUAAGCCUGAAGAGGUAGGAUGAGGUCAACCUUAGAGGACCCUGUACACCACAUUAAGGCCUCAUAUUUUCAGCCAUGUAGGCAAAAUUGGGGCAAACAUACUUUUAAAAGGGAUAAUGGAUCCUUAUAAAAGAAAUUAAGGUCAAUAUAUAUUCAUUGCUACUAUUUUGUGCAAGAAACUAUGCUAGGUCUGAAGAAGCUGCCAAAGGAGUACAACAUCUAUGUUCAUAAUGCAUAAGCAGUCCAAUGAAUAAACAGUGAAAUAUAUUCCAUGUUGUCAGAGAAUAUCUUUAAAUGAUAUGAAGAUUUACUGGAAGAAGACAUGUAACAUGACAAGAGGGAAUAGAAUCUGGGGAACACUUAAUAGAAAAAGGCUAAUGAACAGUCAAUAGAAUUUCUACUAGCAGAAAUGGAGAGUGUGGAGUUAGUGCUAUUGACAGAGUUAUCAAUGUGAGCAAAACCAAACACCAAAAGUGGACCAUGUCCAUUGUCUUUGGGGAGAACAGUAGAAACUUCAGGGAGGUUGUGAUACAGGCACCACCUGGAGAUGGUACAACAGAACAAUGUCUUACUUUUACAUUGUACCCUACAUUUAUAAUCUCAAUAGAUCUCCAAAAGAACACUAUGAAAGAAAUAGGGAAGCUUUAGCAGUUAUCUUCAUUUUACUGAAAUGUAGAGUGUAUAAAUAAUUUUUCCAAGAACACACAACUGGCAAAUGAUUGAUCCACAAUUAAAAUACAGAUUGCAAGUUUCCACUGCUUCACUGAGUCACAAAUUUCAAUCAUUCAGAAUCCAUCUUUAUGGUUUCACUACAUCUGGAUAUCACUUUACUAUCAUACACUUAACGUUUAUCUUUUAAUUGACUAAUUCUUUUUCCUUAAAAUUUUUUAAAAGGAAACUAUCACCCCCUAAGAGGAAGCCAAUAUCAUUUGUCACAAGUUUAAAGAUGCUGCUUGCCUCACAUCUACAACCGUUCCACUGACCAACCCACGUCAAAUGGCCAUGGACAAAGCUAAUGGGAUGGAAAAGUAUACUCCACCUAUGGGGAAGUAGAGACGGCGUUUCACCACGUUAACCAG